rnacentral:rRNA from 1 species
UACGAAGGGGGCUAGCGUUGUUCGGAAUUACUGGGCGUAAAGCGCGCGCAGGCGGUUUUUCAAGUCAGUGGUGAAAGCCCGGAGCUCAACUCCGGAACUGCCAUUGAAACUGUAAAACUUGAGGACGAGAGAGGUGAGUGGAGUUCCCAGUGUAGAGGUGAAAUUCGUAGAUAUUGGGAAGAACACCGGUGGCGAAGGCGGCUCACUGGCUCGUAUCUGACGCUCAGGCGCGACAGCGUGGGGAUCAAACAGG